rnacentral:rRNA from 1 species
UACGUAGGGCGCAAGCGUUGUCCGGAAUUAUUGGGCGUAAAGAGCUCGUAGGCGGUCUGUCGCGUCUGCCGUGAAAACCCGAGGCUUAACCUCGGGCUGGCGGUGGAUACGGGCAGACUAGAGGUAGGUAGGGGAGAAUGGAAUUCCCGGUGUAGCGGUGAAAUGCGCAGAUAUCAGGAGGAACACCGGUGGCGAAGGCGGGUCUCUGGGCAGUAACUGACGCUGAGGAGCGAAAGCGUGGGGAGCGAACAGG